GCGAUCCCAGAGACGAGUACAGCAAAAUCUGCAGAUCUGAACAAACGGACAGCAGAUCUGCAGGAGGAAUGGGACAGACUUCAGUACUGAUGGCCUCACAGACGUCU